rnacentral:rRNA from 1 species
ACGCUGGCGGCAGGCCUAACACAUGCAAGUCGAGCGGUAGAGAGAAGCUUGCUUCUCUUGAGAGCGGCGGACGGGUGAGUAAUGCCUAGGAAUCUGCCUGGUAGUGGGGGAUAACGUUCGGAAACGGACGCUAAUACCGCAUACGUCCUACGGGAGAAAGCAGGGGACCUUCGGGCCUUGCGCUAUCAGAUGAGCCUAGGUCGGAUUAGCUAGUUGGUGGGGUAAUGGCUCACCAAGGCGACGAUCCGUAACUGGUCUGAGAGGAUGAUCAGUCACACUGGAACUGAGACACGGUCCAGACUCCUACGGGAGGCAGCAGUGGGGAAUAUUGGACAAUGGGCGAAAGCCUGAUCCAGCCAUGCCGCGUGUGUGAAGAAGGUCUUCGGAUUGUAAAGCACUUUAAGUUGGGAGGAAGGGCAGUAAAUUAAUACUUUGCUGUUUUGACGUUACCGACAGAGUAAGCACCGGCUAACUCUGUGCCAGCAGCCGCGGUAAUACAGAGGGUGCAAGCGUUAAUCGGAAUUACUGGGCGUAAAGCGCGCGUAGGUGGUUUGUUAAGUUGGAUGUGAAAUCCCCGGGCUCAACCUGGGUACUGCAUUCAAACUGACUGACUAGAGUAUGGUAGAGGGUGGUGGAAUUUCCUGUGUAGCGG